rnacentral:rRNA from 1 species
GACGAACGCUGGCGGCGUGCUUAACACAUGCAAGUCGAACGGAAAGGCCCUGCUUUUGUGGGGUGCUCGAGUGGCGAACGGGUGAGUAACACGUGAGUAACCUGCCCUUGACUUUGGGAUAACUUCAGGAAACUGGGGCUAAUACCGGAUAGGAGCUCCUGCUGCAUGGUGGGGGUUGGAAAGUUUCGGCGGUUGGGGAUGGACUCGCGGCUUAUCAGCUUGUUGGUGGGGUAGUGGCUUACCAAGGCUUUGACGGGUAGCCGGCCUUAGAGGGUGACCGGCCACAUUGGGACUGAGAUACGGCCCAGACUCCUACGGGAGGCAGCAGUGGGGAAUAUUGCACAAUGGGCGGAAACCUGAUGCAGCAACGCCGCGUGCGGGAUGACGGCCUUCGGGUUGUAAACCGCUUUCGCCUGUGACGAAGCGUGAGUGACGGUAAUGGGUAAAGAAGCACCGGCUAACUACGUG